rnacentral:rRNA from 1 species
GGAUUUCUGCUGAGGACACCGGUCCGCCCUCCGGGUGAGCAUCUGGUUCGGCCUUGGCAUCUUCUUGGUGAACGUAGCUGCACUCGACUGUGUGGUGCGGUACCCAGGACUUUUACUUUGAGGAAAUUAGAGUGUUUCAAGCAGGCAUACGCCUUGAAUACAUUAGCAUGGAAUAAUAAGAUAGGACCUCGGUUCUAUUUUGUUGGUUUCUAGAGCUGAGGUAAUGAUUAAUAGGGAUAGUUGG